AGCAGCCAAUCAUGGCGGGACUCGACCUCUGCCGCCGCCAUUUUGUGGCGCGGCCCGGGCCGGGGGGCAGGAACAGGGCAGUGCCCGAUCGCUGUUGGGGGCACAAAGACCCGACUGGGGGACAUUGAUGGGAUUGGGAACGGCUCAGAUCCGAGUAGGAGGUGGACACCAGCAGCU